GCAAACAGGAUUAGAUACCCUGGUAGUCCACGCUGUAAACGAUGAGUACUAGGUGUCGGGGGUUACCCCCCUCGGUGCCGCAGCUAACGCAUUAAGUACUCCGCCUGGGGAGUACGCACGCAAGUGUGAAACUCAAAGGAAUUGACGGGGACCCGCACAAGUAGCGGAGCAUGUGGUUUAAUUCGAAGCAACGCGAAGAACCUUACCUAAGCUUGACAUCCUUUUGACCGAUGCCUAAUCGCAUCUUUCCCUUCGGGGACAGAAGUGACAGGUGGUGCAUGGUUGUCGUCAGCUCGUGUCGUGAGAUGUUGGGUUAAGUCCCGCAACGAGCGCAACCCUUGCCUUUAGUUGCCAUCAUUAAGUUGGGCACUCUAGAGGGACUGCCAGGGAUAACCUGGAGGAAGGUGGGGAUGACGUCAAAUCAUCAUGCCCCUUAUGCUUAGGGCUACACACGUGCUACAAUGGGUGGUACAGAGGGCAGCGAAGUCGUGAGGCCAAGCUAAUCCCUUAAAGCCAUUCUCAGUUCGGAUUGUAGGCUGAAACUCGCCUACAUGAAGCUGGAGUUACUAGUAAUCGCAGAUCAGAAUGCUGCGGUGAAUGCGUUCCCGGGUCUUGUACACACCGCCCGUCACACCAUGGGAGUUGGGGGCGCCCGAAGCCGGCUAGCUAACCUUUUGGAAGCGGUCGUCGAAGGUGAAACCAAUAACUGGGGUGAAGUCGUAACAAGGUAGCCGUAUCGGAAGGUGCGGCUG
rnacentral:rRNA from 1 species